UACGUAGGGGGCUAGGGUUGUCCGGAUUUAUUGGGCGUAAAGAGCGUGUAGGCGGCUUGGCAAGUCUGCUGUGAAAACUCGAGGCUCAACCUCGAGCUGUCGGUGGAAACUGCUUGGCUAGAGUCCGGAAGAGGAGAGUGGAAUUCCUGGUGUAGCGGUGAAAUGCGCAGAUAUCAGGAAGAACACCUAUGGCGAAGGCAGCUCUCUGGGACGGUACUGACGCUGAGACGCGAAAGCGUGGGGAGCGAACAGG
rnacentral:rRNA from 1 species